ACGAACGCUGGCGGCGUGCCUAACACAUGCAAGUCGAGGGAGAAAAAGGGCUUCGGCUCUUGAGUAAACCGGCGCACGGGUGAGUAACACGUAGGUAACGUACCUUGGAAUCUGGGAUAACCAGUCGAAAGAUUGGCUAAUACCGGAUACGACUGCGGAGGCUCCGGCUUCCGUAGUGAAAGACGGCCUCUGUUUACAUGCUGUCGUUCCUAGAUCGGCCUGCGCACCAUUAGCUAGUGGUGGGGUAACGGCCCACCAAGGCUGAGAUGGUUAGCUGGUCUGAGAGGAUGGCCAGCCACACUGGGACUGAGACACGGCCCAGACUCCUACGGGAGGCAGCAGCGGGGAAUAUUGCGCAAUGGGGAAACCCUGACGCAGCGACGCCGCGUGGGUGAUGAAGGCCUUC
rnacentral:rRNA from 1 species